UGAGAAUGCUUCAGGUGACAAGUUAGAUCAAGAGAAACGUAAAGCUAAGGCUAUUGAUAUAUUCAACACUCAUCAUCCACUCCUCUCUCAGUCUCUCUCUGAUCCUGUCAGUGUAGCUAUUAUGCUUCAAAGAGAGGGUGUCAUAACAGGACAAGUAUUGGCUA
rnacentral:lncRNA from 1 species